GACGAACCGAGCGAACGUUGUUCGGAAUCACUGGGCUUAAAGAGCGCGCAGGCGGUCGUUCAAGUCGAGUGUGAAAGCCCCCGGCUCAACUGGGGAGGGUCAUUCGAUACUGAUCGACUGGAAGGCAGGAGAGGGAAGCGGAAUUCCCGGUGUAGUGGUGAAAUGCGUAGAUAUCGGGAGGAACACCAGUGGCGAAGGCGGCUUCCUGGCCUGUUCUUGACGCUGAGGCGCGAAAGCUAGGGGAGCAAACGGG
rnacentral:rRNA from 1 species